GUAAUUCUGAAACUUGAUUUCGAGAAGGCAUUUGACACGAUGGAACAUUCUUUGAUUUUGAAAAUGUUGGAAUGCAAGGGUUUUGAUGACAGGUGGUGUAUGUGGAUUAAGAUGUUGCUGCAGUCUGGAUCCUCAUCAAUUCUUCUGAAUGGUAUACCUAGUACAGAAUUCCAAUGUAAGCGGGGGGUGAGACAGGGGGACCCAAUUUCACCACUGUUAUUUGUGCUUGCGGCGGAUUUAUUACAGUCUUUAAUUAAUAAAGCAUGGAUGGAUGGUCUGAUUUCACUACCAAUUAACCAGCCUGCUUCUGAAGAUUAUCCAGUCAUACAAUAUGCAGACGAUACAUUAAUCAUUCUUCCAGCAAGUCAACAAGAGCUACAGACAAUCAAAGGCAUUCUUGAUUCUUAUGCCCGAGCAACUGGCCUAAAAAUUAAUUAA
rnacentral:rRNA from 1 species